GUCACGGAUUAACAAUUUUUCAAGUCACAAUUUAUUUUUUUCAUUGGUCACUUAUUAUUGGUCAUAGAUUAACCAAUUUAAUGAUCACAGUCAACCAAAUAAUUUGUGACCACCACCAAAAAAAUAAUGCGUAACCUAGAAAAUAUUAUUGGUUGCAAAUUAUUGGAUUAAUUAGUUACGAUAAAUUUUUCGACAAUUUAAUAAAUCGUGAGUCACAAUUGGAAGUCACAGUCACAAAUUUCAUGUUACUUAUCCAAUUGUGAGUCACAAUUCACAAUUCGAAAACAGUCACAGUCACAAUUCUCAUCGCCAUCACCAUCACUAUUGCCGAAUGGCCAUCACCAUCACUAUUGCCACCACCCAACACACACCAACACCAACACCAGAUCCGUUGAGUGCACUUCAAAUAGACCACCGCCAGAUCAACCACCCACCGCAACACCGCCACCACACAAACACCGUCGUUGCCACCACACAAAAUCCACGAUCACCACAGAUCAGGGGAUUUGUAGCGCACCACUACUGCACGAAAUCUACGAUGCUGCAACGAUUGCAACACACCACCACCACACAAAAUCCACAAUGCUGUAACGAAAGGGGAAUCGCCGUCACGCACACACCACCACAGCCUCACGCCACCUCCGUCGAAUACACACGCCCAGACCCACGCGCACGCGCACGUACACGCACACAUCUCGCGACAGUGAUGCAAGCUGCGCCACUGAAAGAGAUGGAGAGCGAACACCUCACACCCCCAACGUAGUAGCUAGAACCAUUCUCACCUCCAACACUGCAGAAACGACGCUCAAUGCCGCGACGCACCCAAAAUUGGCACCACAAUCACCACCACUACCAACAAAACAUACCCCAAAAUCACUCCACAACUACCACAAAAUUAGAUCCAAAAUAACUACACAACUACUGCAAAACCAGAUCCAAAAUCGUUGUAUAAACAUUGGUCACAAUACAAAAUCUAGUCGACGAGGUUGCAGCAGCGACACUGGCUACUUCAGAGCAAAAAGAUAAAUGUCACCCCCAAAAACAUGAUUGAAGCCACCCCCAGAACCAUGGCUGAGAACCGAUUUGCACAGGUCUCAUAUUGUCGCGACGAUCUAAGAGUGCCGCUCAAAUCAGGGCGUGGACAAACACCACAUCAACAAAUACCCACACCACAACCAUUAACAUCACACCAACACCCACACCAAGUCGUCACUGUGUCAUCACUGUUGCUUCAUUCUUACAACAGUGCCCAUUAGUCUGGGCAUUGCCUUACAGUGGUGUUGUGAGCGUCGUGCUCAGCGACGGGGCGCUGCUAUUAGGCGGCUCUCGCGAUGGUUGUCUUUCGGCGGAAAGGAUGAGAGAGAGAGAAGAAAGGUUGGACGAGAGAGAGAGAGAGAGAGAGAGAGAGAGAGAGAGAGAGAGAGAGAGAGAGAAUAUAUGAUUAAUUUUUCAUUUUGUGUAUUUUCUAAACAUUAAAUAAUUAACUAAAAUCUGAAUUAUGAAAAACGAAACUUGAAGUCUUAUUUAUGAAAUCCAAUCUUGAAAAGUAGCCCUAGAUGUAAUUUCCACUAAAAUGAAUUCCAAUUUUUCGGAGCCAUUUGAUUUGCUAAGGAUAAAUGAUGAGGCCAACAAAUUUUUGUCCCAAUUUUACAUGCGCUAUAAAACUUUAUAUUGUCGUUAUCAAGUCGUUGAUUUAUACAAUUUUUUUUUUCAAUCAAUCAGGUGUACUUAUGUCAUGUUACACUAUUUUAUCUAGGGUUCGUUUAAUUGUAGAAUGAAAUUUGGGUUGAAAGAAUUAAAGAAAACGAAUUUCAGGGAAUUGAAUUGUUUAGAACUUAUUUUACUGGAAAUUGUUAAUUAAAUAUAUUUAAUUC
rnacentral:lncRNA from 1 species